UACGUAGGGGGCUAGCGUUGUCCGGAAUCAUUGGGCGUAAAGCGCGUGUAGGCGGCCCGGUAAGUCCGCUGUGAAAGUCCAGGGCUCAACCCUGGGAUGCCGGUGGAUACUGUCGGGCUCGAGUCCGGAAGAGGCGAGUGGAAUUCCUGGUGUAGCGGUGAAAUGCGCAGAUAUCAGGAGGAACACCAAUGGCGAAGGCAGCUCGCUGGGACGUGACUGACGCUGAGACGCGAAAGCGUGGGGAGCAAACAG
rnacentral:rRNA from 1 species